rnacentral:rRNA from 1 species
AGCGUAGACGGACUGGCAAGUCUGAUGUGAAAGGCGGGGGCUCAACCCCUGGACUGCAUUGGAAACUGUUAGUCUUGAGUGCCGGAGAGGUAAGCGGAAUUCCUAGUGUAGCGGUGAAAUGCGUAGAUAUUAGGAGGAAUACCGGAGGCGAAGGCGGCCUGCUGGACAAAUACUGACGCUGAGGCGCGAAAGCGUGGGGAGCAAACA